AAUUACCCAAUCCUGACACAGGGAGGUAGUGACAAGAAAUAACAAUACAGGGCUAAUGUCUUGUAAUUGGAAUGAUGGUGACCCAAACCCUCACCAGAGUAGCAAUUGGAGGGCAAGUCUGGUGCCAGCAGCCGCGGUAAUUCCAGCUCCAAUAGCGUAUAUUAAACUUGUUGCAGUUAAAAAGCUCGUAGUUGAACUUUAGCGUGUUCGAGUUUGCCAUUCGUUUGGCCUUUUCGAGUUCGCUUUUGGGUUUUCCCUUUUUACUUUGAGAAAAUUAGAGUGUUUCAAGCAGACUUUUGUCUUGAAUACUUCAGCAUGGAAUAAUAGAGUAGGACUUUGGUUCUAUUUUGUUGGUUAUUGAACCUUAGUAAUGGUUAAUAGGAACGGUUGGGGGCAUUCGUAUUUAA
rnacentral:rRNA from 1 species